CGCAAGCCUGACGGAGCAAGACCGCGUGGGGGAUGACGGCCUAAUGGUUGUAAACCCCUUUUCUCUGGGAAGAAGACUGACGGUACCAGAGGAAUCAGCCUCGGCUAACUCCGUGCCAGCAGCCGCGGUAAUACGGAGGAGGCAAGCGUUAUCCGGAAUUAUUGGGCGUAAAGCGUCCGUAGGUGGUUAUUCAAGUCUGCUGUCAAAGCGUGGGGCUUAACUCCAUAGAGGCAGUGGAAACUGAGUGACUAGAGUGCGGUAGGGGUCGAGGGAAUUCCCAGUGUAGCGGUGAAAUGCGUAGAUAUUGGGAAGAACACCAGUGGCGAAAGCGCUCGACUGGGCCUGCACCGACACUGAGGGACGAAAGCUAGGGGAGCG
rnacentral:rRNA from 1 species